AGAGUAUUUAUGUGAUAAAGAAGCUUCUAACUUCUAAAAAAGCGGUUAAAUUCCGUUUAUAUUCUA
rnacentral:tRNA from 1 species